rnacentral:rRNA from 1 species
GUGGGGAAUAUUGCACAAUGGGCGCAAGCCUGAUGCAGCCAUGCCGCGUGUAUGAAGAAGGCCUUCGGGUUGUAAAGUACUUUCAGCGGGGAGGAAGGUGUUGUGGUUAAUAACCACAGCAAUUGACGUUACCCGCAGAAGAAGCACCGGCUAACUCCGUGCCAGCAGCCGCGGUAAUACGGAGGGUGCAAGCGUUAAUCGGAAUUACUGGGCGUAAAGCGCACGCAGGCGGUCUGUCAAGUCGGAUGUGAAAUCCCCGGGCUCAACCUGGGAACUGCAUUCGAAACUGGCAGGCUGGAGUCUUGUAGAGGGGGGUAGAAUUCCAGGUGUAGCGGUGAAAUGCGUAGAGAUCUGGAGGAAUACCGGUGGCGAAGGCGGCCCCCUGGACAAAGACUGACGCUCAGGUGCGAAAGCGUGGGGAGCAAACAGGAUUAGAUACCCGAGUAGUCC